AGUUCCUUGAAAAUGUGGACUUCUCUGCAGGCCUUCUGGAGUGUCCUCCUGACAGCAACUGGCCUUUCCCAGAGAGAGUGAUCCAACAGAGAGAGCAAGUAGGAUAUAGCUGCGCCUUUCAUGACAGCCUCAGAAGCCACAAAUCACCGUGUCUGCUAUGUUUUAUUCAUCAGAAGACCUCAGAUGGACAGAAUUCAACUCAUCACAUUUCUUGGUUCUUGACACGCUCUCCUCGUUAGUCCAUCACAUAUUGCACGGAUUCAUUCAUAUCGCUGCAUGUAGGCUGCUUUGACCUGCUGUAGAAUAUCUCAUUGUGUGGAUGCACAUGUGGAUCACUGAGUAUGUCAGAGCUGGCAAGAUACGUCAGAAGAGAAAGGAGAAACUCUUAACUAAAUAGAGUUGGAAAUAAAAUAAUUGUCUGUAUGGAAUAAGAUCAAAGGUCCCACAUGUUAAAGUCAACCCCAGAUGAAUUAAAGUCUUACAUGUCAAAAAAAAUUGAAACUUUUAGAAGAAAAUUAAGGUGGAUAUAUUUUAGACCUUAAGGUAGAGAAAGAUUUCUUAAAGAAGACACUUACAGGAUUGAUUACAAACAAAAAGACUGGUACAUUUGAAUGUAUUAUGUUAAGAACUUUUCCACCAAAAGAAAGCCUCGAUUUCCUCAUUUUUAAGAUGAGGAUAAUAAUCCCUACCUUAUAGAAUUCUAAUAAGAUGAAAUGAAGCAACAUAUACAAAAUACUUAGCACAGAUCCUAACACCUACAAAAUAAUAAAUGGUAACGAUUAUUAUUCUUCUCAAACAACAAUCCUAUUAUUUAUCAAAUAAUACUGAGUAAUAUGACAAGACAUAUUUAAACCACACAAGCCAUAUGCAGACAAGUGUUUAAUAUCAUAGUGAUAGUUUCAAGAGAGAGAUAAUAAUUUAUUCUACAUUUAUCAGAGGUCUAUAGCCCAGUAGUCAAUAAAUACUUAUCUAUAGUCAAUAAGUACUAUCAAGCAUCCAUGCCAGGAACCAUGCUAGGGGCUGAUUAAUUUACAUCAAUCACCAUGACUUUUUUCCCACAAACUAACACACACACAAUCUUCAUAGAUUUUUCUGUGAUCACAGCAAGGAAAAGACCUACGCAUGUUUGGAUCAUCUGUGUACAGUCCUACAGAAGAACUUUGACACUAUCAGAGACAGAAAUCUCAGAAUAGUCCAACUCUCACUUAUUUGUGCUAAUGAAAGAGUAAAGUAAAAGAGACAAUUAAAAUGGGAAAUGUGUUUUGUUUUGUUUUGGUGUUUUGUUUUACAAGUAUGCAAAAACCUCAAAUCAACCUGACCCAACAAUAAGGAAGCAAGUCAGAAAAAGGCAGUCUUCCAGAGCUGUUUGUUCAGCAGCUCAGUAAUGCCAUGAAGGUUUGCUUCCUUUCUCUGCUUUGUGUUUCUGGAGAGAGUCCGCAUACAUUUCAAUAUGGCUGACAGCAGUUCUGGAAUGUAUAAAGCCUUGCAUAAAGAAAAUGACAGUUCACUAUGAAAAUCUGAUUCGGAUGAUGUUGAAAAUAGAUUUAGUGUCUGCUCUGCCUCUCUGUUUUCUAGGACUUCACCACCUCACAGACUUUGUACACUCAUGGUUCACAACUUCCUCACUGUGUUUUCUUUAACGAGUAGAAGAUAAAUAAGCUUUAAGAAAUAGUAAAUUAUAUCAAAAUAGACUUUAUCAUAUAAUUUGCCUAAUUAUGUACCUUCAGUAAGUGUUUAUUGAACUCUGGGGUGUCAACAAUUUUUUAUUCAGCUCUCAUAAGUAAUAUUUGCUUAGAAAUCUACCCAUAAAUAGGAUAACAACUUUCAUAAAACAAGAAUUUAUACCUAGCUAACAUGAAAAAGCUAAACAUCCCUUGAAGUACAAUUCUCCUGAAAAUCAUCCCAAUAUGGUUUAUUGAGGCUGAUGGAUUUGGACACCAGCUCUUAAGAAAAAAGAUAAAGAGGAAAGCUACUGCCUGCCACAACAUAUUCUUUUUCCCAAGAGCUGGCUUCAGAAGGUGAACCCAGAGAGCAGGCUGUUUCUGUCCAUGGGAAAGCAGGAUGGUACAGCCCAUAUCUGAUUCAGAAACCAACAGUCAAACCAUUCUCCCCUGAGACUAAAGCAGAG
rnacentral:lncRNA from 1 species